AGAUUGAACGCUGGCGGAAUGCUUUACACAUGCAAGUCGAGCGGCAGCGCGGGGCAACCUGGCGGCGAGCGGCGAACGGGUGGGUAAUACAUCGGAACAUGUCCAUGUCGUGGGGGAUAGCCCGGCGAAAGCCGGAUUAAUACCGCAUACGCCCGAGAGGGGAAAGUGGGGGACCGCAAGGCCUCACGCGAUUGGGUUGGCCGAUGUCCGAUUAGCUAGUUGGCGGGUAAGAGCCCACAAGGCGAUGAUCGGUAGCUGGUCUGAGAGGAUGAUCAGCCACACUGGGACUGAGACACGGCCCAGACUCCUACGGGAGCAGCAGUGGGAAUUUGGACAAUGGGGAACCUGAUCCAGCCAUUCCGCGUGAGUGAAGAAGGCCUUCGGGUUGUAAGCUCGUUUGUCCGGAACGAAACGGUGGACGUGAAUAUCGUCCAUUACUGACGGUACCGGAAGAAUAAGCACCGGACUAACUACGUGCCAGCAGCCGCGUAA
rnacentral:rRNA from 1 species